UGCCAGCAGCCGCGGUAACACGAACCGUGCGAGCGUUGCGCGGAAUCACUGGGCUUAAAGCGUGCGUAGGCGGACAUGCAGGCGUUUUGUGAAAUCCCUCGGCUCAACCGAGGAAUUGCUUGACGAACCGUGUGUCUUGAGGCAAGUAGGGGCUGUCGGAACGAUAGGUGGAGUGGUGAAAUGCGAUGAUAUCUAUCGGAACGCCGAAGGAGAAAUCAGGCAGCUGGGCUUGUUCUGACGCUGAGGUACGAAAGCGUGGGGAGCGAACGGGAUUAGAUA
rnacentral:rRNA from 1 species